rnacentral:lncRNA from 1 species
CUAGCUCUUGGGCAAGCGUGUGGCUGUCCAACCCCAAGCAAGGUGAAAUUAGCAAGAAAGAAAGGCUGGGGGAGGACUGCGGGCAGGAGAGAAUCUGCACAGCUGCAUGGAUUCCUAAGAGAGGUCGGGUCCCAUUUAAGAAGCUUUGUGGAUAAAAAGGAGAAGGCCAGGGGCCUGGGAAACCCUCAGUGCCCUUCUGCAGGAGCAGAGAGGCGAGGCUGAGCAGCAGUGCUGGUGUGUGAAGCCCCAUGCUUCUCCAGUAUGGUAGGGGAUGAGUGGUGUUUUAGGGUGGGACCCUGCCAGCUCUCGAGUGAUAGCCCAAGGCUGGGCACACCAUGAUAUCCACAACACAAAGAGUUGCAAGUGUUGGAACCCCCAGCCAAGAGGCAAACUGUUGGACUUACGGACCUUGUACUUCUAAGGGCAACUUUCACAACAGCUGGAUUCAGGGGCUGUCUCUUCCUCCUUCCAAGUCUCCAUCCGUCAGCACCGCUCCUCUCCUUCCGCUGCCACUGGGCCCUUGGGCCGCAAAUGGGCCUCUUCAUCUGGAGGGAGAGACGGCUGCUGGCAGCCCAAAGUCUCUGUCCUUACAGAUGGUGACCUGAAGGGGACAGGAAGCUUUCUUUCCCUUUGCUUCCCAGGAAGAACUCUGAAGGACUGGUUUGAGCCACGUCAGUACCCCUUGGACUGACUGGAGUCACGUGCCGAGCCCUGUGAGCUCCUGAACCACGGUCAUGCCCACAUUCCACACGUAUUGAGCGUCAUCUUCAUGCAGACACUGCUGUGGGUGCUGGAGAUGGAGUGGUUAGCAGCCCAGGCAGGAAGAAGCAGCACUGCCCACCUGCACAGUCCGCCCCCAGCCCCCUGGAAGAUGGGUCACAGCAGGAGCAGUGGUCACCACGGAUUUCCAGGGGUGAACAGAGACAGAGGCCAGAAGAGGAGAGUGCAGAAAUGUCUGGAGCCCAAGGUCUCGGCUACAUCUAACUUCACAUUUGCACAGAUCACCACUGAGCACAAGGCUGUACUACCUACCCCUCCCCACUCCUGUCUGCCUGAACUCACCUGGGACAGAAGACAGGACUUCCAAACAGCAGGACGCAAGCCAAUGCAUGGUGCACAGGAUGUCCUGGUCUUUUGGGUGAAGCAUGCCCAGCUCUGAGACCUCGCCUUGGUCCCAUGUGCAAUCCCAGCCUCAUCNNNNNNNNNNCCAGCCUCAUCGCCUGGGUCCCGUGUGCAAUCCCAGCCUCAUCGCCUUGGUCCCACCCCAGCGCCAUGUGCAGAGUCAGCCUCCAUCUUUCUGCAUGUCCAGACCCCCUGCUUCUGCCUGUCUGCAUGGAGAAGCCUUCACGGAAGGUUCACACUUUCCAACUGGUAAACGUGUCUGGUGCCCCAAGUGCUCCCGGGAGAGACUGUGAGUACCCCCCAUCCCCGUUACUCAGUAUGACCUCAUACCACUGUCUUCACAGGGACCCUAAUGCCUGUUGUCCUCAGUAGGACCAUAUGCCCCCAUCCUUAGUGGGGCCACGAGCCCUCUGUCCUCAGUGGGACCCCACGCCCUUGUCCUCAGUGGGAUAACGUGUCUGCUCAUAGCCCUCAGCACAGUUCUGGACUCAGUAAGUCCUAAUACACCCCUGCCUGGCUCUUACACACUGUCUGCUUCUACAGAGUCUUAUAUCUUCAUUAAGAAGGUAAACUCCUAAGGACAGAGGCUCUGUUCCCCCUUCUCGGGCCACUCAGCAGCCGGCCCAUAGCUGCUGCUGCACACCCAGGUGCAGACAUGGGAGCCCAGCUUGCAGGACUGAGCCUCUUUCUAGAUCAGGCGGGACCUGGUGGUCUCUGCUGGGGGCAGGGCCGGGCUUCCCUGUGAGCAUUCCUCCGCUGGUGACCCUGCUGCCUCCAGCGGGGAGGAAAACCCAGGUCCAAUCAUCACACCGGGAGCUAGGUUGUGCCAUGAAGAGGACUAGCAUGAGCUUGGGGUUCCACAGGCCAGGUUCAGUGCCCUGAGCCGCACACACCAGCUUGUGUCCUUGCAUGGUUACUCUUGUCUUUGAGCCUCUGCCAAGGGGGUAAGAAUAUUUACCCACCUUAGCCGGUUGCUUUGAAAAACAAAUGAGGGGCUAUGAAAGCAAGGUCCUUCUCAGCUAUCACUUGUUCUCUCCAUGCAGUACGGCGAGCUUCAGGAGAAGCCCGUGACGCCGGCAUGGUGGUUCCGGCCGCCCUGUGAAUUCAGUGGGUAUCACUUCCAUUGCCCAGGAGCAAUGCCCUCACCGCAGAAACCCCACAAGACACCCUUAGUGUGGCGGCCGACAUCUCUGCGGACAACAGAGAUUUUCCUGUGCCUUCUGAGGCAUCUGUGGGACCAGCAUGGGGGUGCUCUGCCUUAUAAGGCACAGGUGCCACUGCUGUGGGGUCAGAGUUCUGAUUGCUUUUAGAUUGUGUCUGUGCCAGGGAAGACGAAUGAACACAAAGUAAAUUACCCUCUCUUAGUGCAGCAAUGGGGACCAGCUGGUGAGGCAGCUUCUGUCCUCCUCGUUCCUUAUCUCUUUCCUGUCUCCUCACCCCAGCUCCUGACUCAAUUCAGUGUCAUUCUGGAAUAUGAAGGCCAGCCAGAAUGGAAAUAGAAAGCCAAUCACAUUACCACAUAAAAGAGAGAAGAAAAAUUAAAAUUUGGCUGCAAUAACAAAUGCUCAUUUCUGUUAAAUGAGUUGAAUUUUUAAAAGUCAAUCUUUGGCCAGGUGUGGUGGCUCACACCUGUAAUCCCAACAUUUUGGGAGGCCGAUGUGGAUGGAUCACCUGAGGUCAGUGAUUCGAGACCAGCCUGGCCAAUAUGGUAAAACCCUGUCUCUACUAAAAAUAAAAAAAUUAGCCGGGUAUGGUUGUGGGUGCCU